GGCCUGUUAGCUCAGUCGGUUAGAGCGUGGUGCUAAUAACGCCAAGGUCGUGGGUUCGAUCCCCAUACGGGCCA
rnacentral:tRNA from 1 species